rnacentral:rRNA from 1 species
GAGAGUUUGAUUAUGGCUCAGGAUGAACGCUGGCGGCGUGCCUAACACAUGCAAGUCGAGCGAGAAAUGAAGAGAAGAAACUUCGGUAGAUUUUCAUCAUGGAAAGCGGCGGACGGGUGAGUAACGCGUAGGCAACCUGCCCCGUACAGGGGGAUAGCCAUCGGAAACGAUGAUUAAGACCCCAUAAAGCGGAAUAUACACAUGUAAAAACCGUCAAAGAUUUAUCGGUAUGGGAUGGGCCUGCGUCUGAUUAGAUAGUUGGUAGGGUAACGGCCUACCAAGUCAACGAUCAGUAGCCGACCUGAGAGGGUGAACGGCCACAUUGGAACUGAGACACGGUCCAAACUCCUACGGGAGGCAGCAGUGGGGAAUAUUGCACAAUGGAGGGAACUCUGAUGCAGCAACGCCGCGUGAAGGAAGAAGGUCUUCGGAUCGUAAACUUCUGUCCAAAAGGAAGAAGGAAGUGACGGUACUUUUGGAGGAAGCCCCGGCUAACUACGUGCCAGCAGCCGCGGUAAUACGUAGGGGGCAAGCGUUAUCCGGAAUUAUUGGGCGUAAAGAGUGCGUAGGUGGUCACUUAAGCGCAGGGUUUAAGGCAAUGGCUCAACCAUUGUAUGCCCUGCGAACUGGGCGACUUGAGUGCAGGAGAGGAAAGUGGAAUUCCUAGUGUAGCGGUGAAAUGCGUAGAUAUUAGGAGGAACACCGGUGGCGAAGGCGACUUUCUGGACUGAAACUGACACUGACGCACGAAAGCGUGGGGAGCAAACAGGAUUAGAUACCCUGGUAGUCCACGCCGUAAACGAUGAGCACCAUGUGUCGGGGUCGCAAGACCUCGGUGCCGCAGUUAACGCAUUAAGUGCUCCGCCUGGGGAGUACGUUCGCAAGAAUAAAACUCAAAGGAAUUGACGGGGACCCGCACAAGCAGCGGAGCAUGUGGUUAAUUCGAAGCAACGCGAAGAACCUUACCAGGCUUGACAUCUUCUGCCGUACCCGCAAAUGGUAUUUCUACGGACAGAAGAGACAGUGUGCAUGAUGUCGUCAGCUCGUGUCUGAGAUGUGGGUAGUCCGCACGAGGCACCUGCUUUAGUUGCAUCAUUAGUAGGCUCUGAAGGACUUGCGGACAACUUCGAGAGGUGGAUGACUCAUUCUCAUGCCUAUGUUCUGGCAUACACAUGUGUCUCACUAAUAUGCGCGGUUACUAUC